rnacentral:tRNA from 1 species
GCCUCCGUAGUCCAACGGCAGAGACGGCAGCAUGAGGUGCUGUGCGGUGGGGGUUCGAAUCCCUCCGGAGGUACUA